rnacentral:rRNA from 1 species
AUUGAACGCUGGCGGCAGGCCUAACACAUGCAAGUCGAGCGGAUGAAGGGAGCUUGCUCCUGGAUUCAGCGGCGGACGGGUGAGUAAUGCCUAGGAAUCUGCCUGGUAGUGGGGGAUAACGUCCGGAAACGGGCGCUAAUACCGCGUACGUCCUGAGGGAGAAAGUGGGGGAUCUUCGGACCUCACGCUAUCAGAUGAGCCUAGGUCGGAUUAGCUAGUUGGUGGGGUAAAGGCCUACCAAGGCGACGAUCCGUAACUGGUCUGAGAGGAUGAUCAGUCACACUGGAACUGAGACACGGUCCAGACUCCUACGGGAGGCAGUAGUGGGGAAUAUUGGACAAUGGGCGAAAGCCUGAUCCAGCCAUGCCGCGUGUGUGAAGAAGGUCUUCGGAUUGUAAAGCACUUUAAGUUGGGAGGAAGGGCAGUAAGUUAAUACCUUGCUGUUUUGACGUUACCAACAGAAUAAGCACCGGCUAACUUCGUG